rnacentral:rRNA from 1 species
UACGUAGGGGGCGAGCGUUGUCCGGAUUUACUGGGCGUAAAACGCUUGUAGGCGGUCACGCCAAGUCGGAUGUGAAAUCUCCCGGCUUAACUGGGAGGGGUCAUUCGAUACUGGCGGACUCGAGGCAGGUAGGGGGAAGCGGAAUUCCCGGUGUAGUGGUGGAAUGCGUAGAUAUCGGGAGGAACACCAGUGGCGAAGGCGGCUUCCUGGACCUGUUCUGACGCUGAGGAGCGAAAGCGUGGGGAGCGAUCCGG